GACGAACGCUGGCGGCGUGCUUAACACAUGCAAGUCGAACGGAAAGGCCCUGCUUUUGUGGGGUGCUCGAGUGGCGAACGGGUGAGUAACACGUGAGUAACCUGCCCUUGACUUUGGGAUAACUUCAGGAAACUGGGGCUAAUACCGGAUAGGAGCUCCUGCUGCACGGUGGGGGUUGGAAAGUUUCGGCGGUUGGGGAUGGACUCGCGGCUUAUCAGCUUGUUGGUGGGGUAGUGGCUUACCAAGGCUUUGACGGGUAGCCGGCCUGAGAGGGUGACCGGCCACAUUGGGACUGAGAUAAGGCCCAGACUCCUACGGGAGGCAGCAGUGGGGAAUAUUGCACAAUGGGCGGAAGCCUGAUGCAGCAACGCCGCGUGCGGGAUGACGGCCUUCGGGUUGUAAACCGCUUUCGCCUGUGACGAAGCGUGAGUGACGGUAAUGGGUAAAGAAGCACCGGCUAACUACGUG
rnacentral:rRNA from 1 species